rnacentral:tRNA from 1 species
AGAGAAUUGCCCGAGUGGUUUAAGGAGAUAAGCUUGAAACUUAUUAGAUUUAAUGGAUCUCAUCCGUUCGAAUCGGAUAUUCUCUG